UGGGGCUUUAGCUCAGCGGGAGAGCACAUGACUGAAGAUCAUGGUGUGCCGGGUUCGACUCCCGGAAGCCCCAU
rnacentral:tRNA from 1 species